rnacentral:lncRNA from 1 species
CGCCAAUCAGCGCCGAGGCUGAGCGGGGCUUCCGCUCCUCCUCCCUCGAGUGGGGCGCGGGAACAUCUGGGGCUUCGGAGGGUGGGCGCGUCGCUUGCGGGCUGUGUCCCGCGUCGCUGCGGCUGGGCCCGUCGGGGGCCUCCGGCCACGUCGGGGUGGGAGGGCCUGCGUGAGGGCGCUAGGCCUCGCUUCCAGGCGCGGGGCCUCCUCCAGCGAUGUGCUGUGGUAGCUAAUCUCACUGGCUGUGUUUGUAUUGAUAUAUUCACCUGCAGGGCUGUUGUUCCUGCGUGGCAUUGUUCCUCCCCAUGUGUCAUCCCCAUGGAAGGACAAAGUCUGCUCAUAUGCCAUUUCUUGUAUCAGAAAUCUAAUGUGUGGGGUGAAAGAUCUACAGAAGGUUGUAGACAAAGACACUGCACAGAUGCAGCCAUCAACAACCUGCGCUCAUUACCACUUCAUCUAGGAGAGAACUAUGAUGAUGUGUUUCAGCUGCAAAAUAACUAUAAUCAUAACUCCCAGUUCCUGUCACAAGCCCUAGGCUAUCUUCAAGGUCCAGAUGUAGUGAUGAGAGAUGCUGCAGCAAUGUUUAUUGCUGAUGGAAAGACGGAUAUUGAUUUUGUUGCUGAAUGAAACAGUAGGCCUCUGGCUUUAUGACCUGGAGCAAAUUAAUUUUGCAGUCACUGCCUCAGCUUCUUACAUGUCCUCUGUUUGAGGAAGAACAUCCAAUAAUGCAUCAGAGGACUUGCCUGACAUUCAGAAAAGGAAGGCACAAAAGAAAUGCAAGGUGUUAUUCUGAUUUUAGCUUAUUCAUGCCCUCCUUACACUGGAGUGGUUUCAGCCCAGGCAGUUUAUCUAGAAAAUGAGUAUCAGUUUAGAUAAACUCCAGUGAGCUUGAAGAAUGCAUGUUGCUGGGAUAGUAGCUAUAUCUAUGACUUUUUAUCAAAAUAAAUACUUUGUGGUUUGAC